rfam:Bacillus sp. VT-16-64 NODE_73, whole genome shotgun sequence.
AAAAUCUUAUAGCGAUGUAAGACUGGAUAGUGAGGAGUCAGCAGAAGACGUAGUAGUGAAGAAGUCUAAUGAAAGUU